UAUCUCCUUUGGGGCUGAGAGUCCAGAGGUCUCUGGAAGCUUAUUUAUUUCACUGGCAACAUGCUCCUCUGUCAGUUUUUUAUUUGGUGGUGCAGUUCAUUCUUUAUUCCAGUAGGUGUCACUUAAGAGUAAGAGCCAGCUUUCCCUUAGGUAACCCAGUAAGGAGUGGAGGCUUCCACCCUAACGGGGAGUGAUGGGGAAAGAGAUGGCCUUGGGAUGGGCUGAGGUCUUGAGGGAAGGGGCACCAGCUCCUCAUCCUGCAUGCCUUAUUUAUUAAGAACCCAAUUAGCAUCUGAGAAUUGUUGCCACGAGUCAGGUGACCAGAUGCCUUAAGAAUAUCUGUUCUCUUACCUUGCUGCUUCUUCCAUUUGGGCUUUACCUCUUCUUUCCCACUCCUCCAUCCACGGUGGAAAAAAAGAAAAAGAAAGAAAGAAAGAAGGAAGGAAGGAAGGAAGGAAGGAAGGAAGGAAGGAAGGAAGGAAGGAAGGAAGGAAGGAAGAAAGAAAGAAAGAAAGAAAGAAAGUGAAAGAAAGAAAGGAAAGAAAGAAAAAGAAAAGAAAAGAGGCGCCAUGAGCUUGUCACCUUCUCUAAUGGAGGAAGAGGUCAAUGGCGAACAUUUUCUACACUUUAAUGGCAGCAUAACAAAGAAGACAUCUAAGGAAUUUUACUCAUCAGUGUGGAGUAAUGGGCAGGCGUAUUGAAAUGGUCUCUGGAGUAAUGAGCAGGCAUAUUGAAAUGGUCUCUUUUUAUUUUUUUAAUAUGAACACUCAACUUGUGCCUUUUUUUCUUUCUUGUCUUUGUAAAUAUAGAUACUUGCAGGGGCCUUCCUUUUUGCUAUUUCCCUCCCAUUUUCCCCUUCACACUAUCUUCUUUCCUUAGUUUUUCCUUCUUUCUAUUCUGGGAAAUGAGGAUUUGACAAAUGAAAUAUGAAAAUAUAGUUUUUGAAGAAAGAACAACUGUUCUUCUUCAACCAAGAAUAAAUCAAGUUUUCGGUUUGGGGGUUGGCAGGGGGUUAGCUGACCAUGUAAUGCUGAUGGGCAAGGUCAGGGGGAGACUAACCCUGGAGAGUUGCCCCUGAGAGAGAAACCACUUCUCAGUGGCCACAUGAUGAGUAAGUAAGGGAAACUCCUCAGGUUCCCAGAAGUCUAUCUGAGCACAGCACUCAUCAGCCAAAAGCCCUUUGGUGAGUAGCAGUAUGGCUUCACUCUCUUCUAUAGACGGUGACUAGAUCUUCUCUCUCUCUCACUCUUUCUCUCUCUCUCCCCCGCCCUCUACUGCUUUUCUUUUUUAAAUUUUCUUUCUCUCUGACCUAAACUGAUGCCUAGGUGAAAGCUUGACUCUCUUGUACCACAUUUAUUCUGCUAUCUCAUACUUUUAGUCAUAAAGUCACCUUUGUGUGGUGUUCAGCAGAAAAACAGCAAGAUUGAUCCAAGUAAAUUAGAAUGUCCAGAGUUCACUGCUGAGAAAUUUAAAUUAUUACUUUCAUAUAGAGUUAAAAGAAUAAACUGCUGAGGAACUUUGACAUCUCUUCUUAUGUAAUUUUUUCAACAUUAGAAAGUGAACUUGUACAUGAAAGUAUAAAUUCGACAACUCCCAGACUUCCUUUAACUCUAUGAUUUCAUGGACACGGAUUUGAUAUGGACAGGAGGCAGGGAAAUCCUGGGUAGAAGUGGGCAGGGUCCCUGGCGAGGGUUCCACCUCAAGACCCUAAAUGAGAACUUCACACCCCUGUUUUCCUGCCCAAAGGUUGCCUUUGGACCCUCCACAUACCCCACCCUGUAAACAUACAAACCCCAAGUUCCACUGGCAGAGAAGCAGAGUAGCAUGGCAGAGAAGGAGAGAAGAGAAGAAGCAUAUGAAUAUUGAAAGGAGAAGAGGCAACUUAACACCAGAGACUACAGUCAGAAAGGAGUUCCUCCAGGGAUGGUCAGAGAAGAUUUCGUCCAGGGAUGGCUGAACUCCAGGGGAAGAUUAUCUUCCCACUCCAUCCCCUUUCCAGCUCCCCAACCUGCUGAGAGCCACUUCCACAGCUCAAUAAAUCUCUGCAUUCACCAUCUUUCAGGUUCAUGUGACCUGAUUCUUCCUGGAUGCUAGACAAGAACCCGGUUACCAGAGGGCAUGGAGUGAAAGGAUGUCACCCUAGCCCUCCACUCAACUGGUUAACACUUAGCUGUCCAUAGACAGAAAAUGCUAAAAAGCAUUGUUUGUAACACUUGCCUUCUGGGGCUUCAGAGGUCAUGUGCAACCCCUGGAUGCUGCCACAGGCUGGUACAAGGUAUGUUUCUGCUGUCGCCCGAAGGCAUUCGCCCCAGCUCCUCCACCUGCUCAACUGUAUGCUCACCCUUCCACAAGGGGUUUGAGCCACCGCUGUCUCAAGUCCCUCAAGGGCGUCAAGGGAACUCUCACAUCUCAGAUUCUAAAUUAAUACCACUCAACAGAAAAUUUCAACAAUAUAGGAUUCAUCUACCAUGAAGCAUGUAUCUGUAAUGAAUAUGAAAUAGUUGAGAUUGCCUGAGUGGCCACUUUCUCACAUGCUUCCAAAAAAUUUUGUAUGCUUUUAAACUUCAAAAUAAUUAUGAUGCUACUUCCUCAUUUUUCUAGCAAAUUCUUGGAUGAUAUUUAUGUCCUUUUACAUUUGAAAGUUAUAACCACAGACUUGAGAUAAACGAAUAAGAUAGUGCAUCUAGUUGUAAGCCUAUAUAAAAGUACAUUAUAAACGACAGGGAAGAUAUUUGAGUAGAUAAGGGCAAGCCUGGAAAGAAGGACAUUUAAGCUUUCAUCCCAAUUUGACCAUCAAUUAUAGAGACAUACGCAACUUUGAAAUUGCUUUCCUUGAUAGUGAAAUAAUAGAUACACUGCAAAUGUCUAUAUAUUUGACAUAUUAUUUAAUUUAUAAAAUAUCUUUUGAUAUCUUUGAAACUGAUCAUUAAAAUAUGAAGUUGUAACUCAAAUGUUGUAAUUUUCUUUCACUUUAAUAUAUACUGUCUUGUUCCAGACACUGUGUUUGUUAUAAAAGUCUUUAUUAUACAAUUGUUAAAUAAUUACUUUUAUAAAUGGUCUCUCAUUUAUUCCUGAAAUGCAGGUAUUUUUCUCCUUUUUGUAUUAUUGACGAGGAGACUAGGGCUUAGAGUCAGACUAGUUACUGUUGUGGGUUGAAUUGUGACCUCAAAGAGAUACAUUGAAAUCUUAAUCUCUGGUACCUGUGAAUUGAAACUUAUUUGAAAGUAGGACCUUUGAAGAUGUGAUCAUAUAAGAAUGUGGUUAUUCUGGAUUCUUUUGGGCUCUGAUCCAAUACCACCAAGGUCCUUAUAAGAAGUGAAGAAGCACAGAUACACACACAUGAGCGCGCACACACACACACACACGAGUCUACUAUGUGAAGAUGGAGCCAAAGAUUGGAGUGAUGAGCCUACAAGUAAAGGGACAUUAAGGAUUUCCAACAACUACCAGAAACUAGGAAGGAGACAUGAAACUGAUUCUCCCUCAGGGCCUUCAGAAGGAGCUGACACAGCUAACACUUUGAUUUCAGACUUUAGUCUCCAG
rnacentral:lncRNA from 1 species